AGAUUGAACGCUGGCGGCAUGCUUUACACAUGCAAGUCGAACGGUAACAGGCCGCAAGGUGCUGACGAGUGGCGAACGGGUGAGUAAUGUAUCGGAACGUGCCCAGUCGUGGGGGAUAACGCAGCGAAAGCUGCGCUAAUACCGCAUACGAUCUAUGGAUGAAAGGCGGGGACCGUAAGGCCUCGCGCGAUUGGAGCGGCCGAUAUCAGUAUUAGGUAGUUGGUGGGGUAAA
rnacentral:rRNA from 1 species